UCCGUCAGAAAAAGCAGGGCAGGCUGCGC
rnacentral:sRNA from 1 species